rnacentral:rRNA from 1 species
GGCUUAGUUUGAUCCUGGCUCAGUAUGAACGCUAGCGGCAGGCCUAACACAUGCAAGCCGAGGGGCAGCGGGGUAGCAAUACUGCCGGCGACCGGCGCACGGGUGAGUAACGCGUAUGCAACCUACCUUAAACAAUGUGAUAGCCCGGAGAAAUUCGGAUUAAUACCAUAUAUAAUUACCAGAUGGCAUCAUAGGGUAAUGAAAACUCAGGUGGUUUAAGAUGGGCAUGCGUGCCAUUAGCUAGUUGGUAGGGUAACGGCCUACCAAGGCGACGAUGGCUAGGGGUUCUAAAAGGAUGAUCCCCCACACUGGUACUGAGACACGGACCAGACUCCUACGGGAGGCAGCAGUGAGGAAUAUUGGGCAAUGGGUGCAAGCCUGACCCAGCCAUGCCGCGUGCAGGCUAAAGCCUUACAGGUUUUAAACUGCUUUUAAACGGGAAGAACACCCUGUACGAGUACGGGGCUGACGGUACCGUAGGAACAAGCAUCGGCUAACUCCGUGCCAGCAGCCGCGGUAAUACGGAGGAUGCAAGCGUUAUCCGGAUUUAUUAGGUUUAAAGGGUGCGUAGGCGGGAGAUUAAGUCAGUGGUGAAAUCUAACAGCUCAACUGUUAGGCUGCCAUUGAAACUAGUUUUCUUGAAUACGGUUGAGGUAGGCGGAAUGUGUAAUGUAGCGGUGAAAUGCAUAGAUAUUACACAGAACACCGAUUGCGAAGGCAGCUUACUAAGCCGUUAUUGACGCUCAUGCACGAAAGCGUGGGGAUCAAACAGGAUUAGAUACCCUGGUAGUCCACGCUGUAAACGAUGAUCACUGGUUGUUGGCGAUAUACCGUUCAGCGACUGAGCGAAAGCAUUAAGUGAUCCACCUGGGGAGUACGUCGGCAACGAUGAAACUCAAAGGAAUUGACGGGGGCCCGCACAAGCGGAGGAACAUGUGGUUUAAUUCGAUGAUACGCGAGGAACCUUACCUGGGCUCGAACGUAAGACGACGUAUGGUGAAAGCCGUAUUCCCGCAAGGGCGUUUUACGAGGUGCUGCAUGGCUGUCGUCAGCUCGUGCCGUGAGGUGUCGGCUUAAGUGCCAUAACGAGCGCAACCCCUAUAAUUAGUUACCAGCGGGUCAAGCCGGGGACUCUAAUUAGACUGCCAGCGUAAGCUGAGAGGAAGGCGGGGAUGACGUCAAGUCAGCACGGCCCUUACGUCCAGGGCUACACACGUGUUACAAUGGUCGGUACAGAGGGCAGCUACCUGGUGACAGGAUGCGAAUCUCUAAAGCCGAUCUUAGUUCGGAUUGAAGUCUGCAACUCGACUUCAUGAAGCUGGAUUCGCUAGUAAUCGCGCAUCAGCAAUGGCGCGGUGAAUACGUUCCCGGGCCUUGUACACACCGCCCGUCAAGCCAUGGGAGCUGGGGGUACCUAAAGUCCAUGACCGCAAGGCAUGGCCUAGGGUAAAACUAGUGACUGGGGCUAAGUCGUAACAAGGUAACCAAGC